CACAUAUCAGGACAUCCCCUACACACUCCACCCCCUGUGAACAAACUCAUUGGUGGAACAUGAAGGUGGACCCUGGGACCCAGACAUUGAGCUGUGUAAAGGACCCCAAAAAAAUGGAGCUGCUUCCCGUUCUCCCAGAACAUUGAUUUUUGUGACCACAGUUACAAACCGCCUCCAGAGAGCCUGUUCUGCACCAGACCAGUGGAGCC